UCGAUUCAGGGUCGUCUAAUCGGAGCGUCUUGAUGAUGGGCUAUGAUCCUGAGCCAGCUGAGCAUGGGUCGAUGGGCACGCCGACCCCUUGUUUUGCAGAGGGGGCACGAAGUUUGCGGAGCGCUAGUUGGAAGUAGACGACCGUAUCGUCCUCUGGAUACACGAUGCAGGGUUUUAUGGUAUUUAUCGGAUUGCCCAUAUCUAGUUAGAUUAACAUCUCAUGACAGCUUUGGUGGAGCGAUGGAGACUCAAGAUGCACACAUUCCACCUACCUCACUGGGAGGCGACCGUCACACUCCAGUACGUAUUCGUUUUGUUUGGGUUGCCGAUUGAUGGGCACCCCGUCACUGGUCGUACUGCUGAGCCAGUAGAGGGACCUACAGACCGUUAGGGAUGACUCACCCUGCGUACUCUGAGUGAGCGUUUGUUAGGAGUUGUGCCACCUAACAAUGAGUUGGUUGGUGCACGUAUCCGUAUGUGGUUCCUCGAGGGGGAUGUGUUUCGUCAGCUCUCGGCAGAUGCAGAUGCACAGACUAUAGCGUGUCACGCACAAGCCCACUUGUUGCAUUUGAUAUGUGGGGUGCUAUUUUGUGACGUUUCAGGCAGCUAUGCGCAUAUGAUGUUCCUUCCACUCCUUGCGGAUCUGGGAGUGAUAUGCUCGUACAGUUGGGGGUCCGCUACUUUGGCGUGGCUUUACAGGGAGAUGUGUCACGUCGCUCACCGCUCGAAGACACAGAUUGCUGGCCCACUUUGCCUACUACAGGUUUGGGCCUAGGAGAGAUUUUUGUCCUUAGCUCCUACGUGGUGAGGUUUCCUAUAUAUUCAGAGGGGCCAGGACGGUUGUCCGGUUGACUCACUCCCACUCGCAUACCGAUGGAGGGACGACUUGAGGGCGUCAUCGGUUGCGCUACACACAUUGCCCUGGUACAAGUUCGAGUUGGACAUGCACCGGGAGUAUGACUUCUUAUGGAGACCCUACACGGCUGAGAUUGUAACCGACCUACCUCCCCAUUAUGUAUUCGGGAGUGACCUUUGGGUAGCUCGAGUGCUACUCAUAUGCUUUCAUAUUAUUGAGUGGUAUCUCCUUGACCGAGUCAUGCGGCAGUUCGACUAUCGACAAGGCAUUCCCAACCAUUUUCUGACGUCGGGGGUAGAUGUAGUUAGGGAUGACCUCCAUGGCAUGGACGAGCGCGGUCGAGGGGUCACGAACUAGGCGACUACACACGCGAUAUUCAUGACUGCGUGGGUGCAUCAGCAAGAGUACAUCGUACCAAGAGUGGCGGAGGACGGUCUGAUGCGUCCGGAUGAUCCAUACUUCACCUAAUAUAGGUCUAUCACGCGCCGCUUCGUCGACAGGACCGCUGCUGUAUAUUUGAGCCUCGCUAACAUACUACAUAAGGCAGAUCAGAUCUCGCCAAAUCCCGCUAUCGACCGAUUGAUGAGUGCUGCGUUGGACUUUGUCCAUAAGGACGACCGACGGAUCCCAGCUACUCGACCUGAUGUACCAGCACGAGGACGUCGACCAGCUCUAGUACGAGGAGGACGACAUGCCUCCUCUAGUCGUCCAGUGAGUCUCAUCUCCUCGCCACCGGUUAUACAGGCAGAGUACGCGUUCAAUCCGUCAGCACCGUAUGCACCUUCUAGUGCAAUUGAUAUUGCAGGACCGUCCAGUAGACCGGUUGACGCCCCAUCUGACUCUCCUGCCACCCCAUCGAUGUCAUUUUUAUUGAACGACAUUUUCGGUGGGGAGGAGGUCGAUGCACCCGCUAUGCCGCCUCGUUCUCAUCCAGAGACAUCAUAUCAGUUCUCUUCACGUGCGCUUCGCAUAGAUGAUGAUUACGCAGUACCUCUUGGUAGAGAUGAUCCACAUAUAGGACGAUGGGACAUGCCACUUGAUGCAGAUGACUAGCAGGGAGAGGGCAAACGUAGACGACAACCACCACGACCCCAGAGACGAGCUCGCUGUGGCAUCGAGUAGUAUAGCAUUAAUUUCAUUUCAUUUGUAUAUCAUUGAUUAUUUUUAUUUCAUUUGUAUAACAUUGAUUAUUUUUAUUUCAUUUGUAUAUCAUUGAUUAUUUUCAUU